CCUACGGGAGGCAGCAGUGAGGAAUAUUGGUCAAUGGGCGGAAGCCUGAACCAGCCAAGUCGCGUGAGGGAAGAAGGCCCUGCGGGUCGCAGACCUCUUUGGACGGGGAGCAAGGCCGCCGACGUGUCGGCGGAAGGAGAGUACCCGUAGAACAAGCAUCGGCUAACUCCGUGCCAGCAGCCGCGGUAAUACGGAGGAUGCGAGCGUUAUCCGGAUUUAUUGGGUUUAAAGGGUACGUAGGCGGGCUUUUAAGUCAGCGGUAAAAAUUCGGGGCUCAACCCCGUCCGGUCGUUGAAACUGGGGGC
rnacentral:rRNA from 1 species